rnacentral:ribozyme from 14 species
CAUCCACAAAAUGCCUCCAGAUAGAAAAAAAAAAAAAGAAGAAGAAGAAGAAGAAGAAGUUGAUGUUUGCCCUCUUUUCCCUUUUUAUACAUAAUAUGCUGCCCUUCUUUUUUUACGUGUGCUGCCUCC